UCACCACUCUCGGUGGGC
rnacentral:snRNA from 1 species